rnacentral:misc_RNA from 1 species
UUUCCGUAGGUGAACCUGCGGUAGGAUCAUUCACAAUCCGUGUUUUAUGGCGCUUUUUUAACAAUCCAUAUCCACCUUCUAUGCAACGUUAUACGACCCUCUAUCGUUAUCUUUUAGCUUACGUAGGCGGUAACUUCUACAACUUACCAACAUCACCAUUAACUUCUUUAUCUGAUCAUUUGUAAUCUCGAACGAACUUAAUUAGUAAAUACAACUUUCAACAACGGAUCUCUUUGCUCUCGCAUCCAUGAAGAACGCAACAGAUCCGAAGAGCAAACC